UUUUUUCCAUCUGAACUCUCAAAUUCACCAAAACUGGAUUUGGGAGGGAUGUCUCUGUGUUUGAAAUCAUCAGUAAAAAAAAACCUUGGUUUCAUUUUUGGUGAUGGCUUAAAGUUUGACUGACAAAUAAAUUCAGUUGUUAAAGCUUGCUUUUUUCAGCUGCGUCUGCUUUCUAAAGCUAAACCUUUUCUUGCUUUUAAAGAUUUUCAAAACUUUUGUGUGGCGUCAAAAGGAGGGAGCAUAUUUCUCUUGUUUUAUGCUCACUACAUUGGUUGCCUGUUUGUCUAAGAGUGGAUUUUAAAAUGUUCUAGUUUAUAAACCUCUGAAUGGUUUGGCUCCCCCUUAUCUCAGUGAGUUACUGACCGAGUAUCAACCCACUCGAUCCCUUCGGUCUACCCCUAAGUCGAGGCUUAAGUGCCGGGGAGUUAGUGCUUUCUGUAUUGCUGACCCCAGGCACUGUCCAUUAGACAAGCCUCUUCACUUAAUAUUUUUAAGUCCAGGCUAAAGACAUUAAUUUUAUAAUUUUUUAAUUGAAAUAAUUUUUUUCUGUUUGUUGUGUUUUUUUCUUCUUCUGUUUUUAAUGACCUAAUGGAAAGCACAUUGAUCGACAGAAGUUGUAAUUAAUUGUGCUAGAUAAAUAAAUUGUCAUGGUCAUUAUGGGACUCACAGCUGAAUGUGUCCUACCUAACUUAAAAUUGCAACAGUUCCUUGCUUCAGUGUGGUACACACGUAAUGUUGGUUUGUUUGGAAAGAAGACCCUCUGGGCUUUACUUUUCAUCAUCCAGAGUUGAUAAUGCUCAAAAAGAUUGAAAAUUAAAAAAUGUACCUAGGGUUGUAACGAUAUACCGGUAUGACGAUAUACCACAAUAUAAAUAUUAACGAUUAUCAUACCAUGUGCAUUUACUUAUCUACGGUAUUGAGAGAAAAUAACAAACACAGAAUCUCACCUGCGCCUAGGCAACAACGUUCCACCGAAGGGGCCGUUCACAUAUCACGCCUAAAACAUGUGGAAAACAUUAGAGGAGCUGCUUUCUGAUUUUUUCCCAAAGCCUUCUGGCACUAGCGCUCUUGAGGCGUCUGCCGUGGCUAAGCAACAAUGACCCGCUCUCCAUGAAGACGUGGAAAUUUCAGCUCAAAGAACAGAGACAACUCUAAAUCCAAAGUGUAUUACACAAAACAUUGUGCAACUGCAAAAUCAAAGUCAAUGAGAGACUCAUUCUGCCUCAGCAUCCCGAUGGUGGAGAGCCAUGGGAAAUGGUAGAAAGGCUGACACUGUAGAUAGCUUCAAAGUUUACAUUGUCUUCUACAAGUCUUUGCUGUAUUUUACGCAGUAGGAUGACAUUGUUUUGAUGGACCAUAUGAACAAUGAAAGCCUCUUGCUGUUGGGAGAACGAAGGAGUCCUUCUAUGGAGCUAUUCUUGUGCCAAUAAAAAUGAACGUACCUUUUCAAGAAACUAAUGGAAAUAUAAAUUGAAACUGAAUAAAAUAUCUUUGAAACUGAAAAAGAAUAACUCGCUGGCAAAUUUAUUGACUUUGUUUUUAAUACACUGCAUGUUUUGCUAACUAUUUCUCAUAUUUCUUUCGCUGAUCUGAACUUCGUUUACGCUUCUGAAGUUUUGGUUCGCAAUUCUGACACAAACCUACCGUGUGGGCGGGCUUAACAGCGGUUUGCUCUCAUUGGCUAGUGAGAUUUAGAUUGACGGCUCCUUGAACCGGAAGGAGAGACUUCAGCAGCGUGAAUUUUGGGUUCUGUGUGACAGUCUAACAACAGUAGAGUAAAACACUAUAUUAAAGCACAUCAACAAUAUUUAUAAAACCGAGAUGAGUAAGCAGGAGCGUCAUCAACAUCCUCAACCGUAGGGCAUUCGAGGCAGCCUGAGGGACAAAGAGAAAUGUCACUUCUCCAGGAACAAGUGCAAGAAGAUAUCUUACAUCGUAUGCUAACCAAGUUUAACUUGAUUUGUCGGAAUGAAGCUAUAGAUUUGGAUUACCUCCUGGAUGUUCUUGAAAAGAAAAGCAGCAAAGCAGCAGUGCCCGUUUGGUUUGAGUCUCCCAAUUGUCGUUGGUGCCUUCUUUGAGGGGGGGUUCUGUUAUUUGGUAAGUAAGAAGUUGCAUAUUAUAAUCAGUUGCAUUCUGUUGUAGCUGCCCCUCCCAACCUGUCUGAAAUGGGUGAGUUGAGAGAAAUGUUAAAAGCCCAAAAGAAACAGUUAAAUCAACUGACACAAAAUUUUGCUCGGUUUCAAGAAUUUCGUUCGCGUGACCAUUCCCCACUUUAUGGCCCAGUAAUUUGCAGACGGUGUCAACAGCCCGGCCAUUUUUCUCGAGAUUGCGAGGGCCCACGAGUAGCUUCACGUCCACCAAUUGUGGGCCCUCCAAUGGUUCCUUUGCCUGUGGAUGGGUGCCGUCAAGAUCGCCAGCCAUUGGGAAACUAGUACCCGCCCAAUUGCAGAGCCACAAAUCGGUAGGGGAGAUCAUUGGCUCAAAUGAAUUGUCUAGCUCUGAUCCUACUUCUUACCUAAUGUCUUCAUGCCCACAUCUUGUUGUCGGUAUGGGAGGAGUAAAGAUACCAUGGUUUCUACUACAACGGAAAGUUGUUUUAUUGCAAACUUUGUGGGCAGGAGCGUUUGAGGUUUUGCCAGUGGUUGCAGCUUAGGGCUGCAAAUGAGCUGGAAAUCCCCUACAUUGGCUACCUGGAGCUGGAUAUCGAGUUGUGUGGGAAGGUAGUGUUAGGAUGUGGAGUGUUAGUGAUUAAGGAUCCCCUUGAAUGUUCUCAGUCGUUGUUACCAGGAACUUUUUGGGCAGCAUGGUUUGACCCUCUUUAGUUUACCUGCGGUUUCAGGGGCCCCUGGUCCUGUAAUGCAAGCUUUGCAACACUGUCAACUGCAGGCUCAACCUUCUGGCUUAACGAGUAAGGUAAGGGUACGUGGGCAUAAAGCAAAACACAUUUCAGGUGGUAUGAUGCAGAUAGUAGCGGACACAUGUUCUGAACAUCAUUCAGGGAACACAGUGUUGUUUAACCCUAACCCUAGUACAGGUUUUUCGGGGUACUGUUUACAUACCUGUGGUUAAUGUGGGGACUGGAGGUGCUCUUCUCUAUCCUGGUGCAGUCUUAGGCACCUUGAAUGCUUGAAUGCUGUUUUUGUGACUAGUUUACCCCAAGGAGUCACUGAAGUUAAAGCGGUGUCUGCAACAGUUGGCUCACAGUCAUCACAGACUGGGUCCACUGUGCCUGAACAAAUAGAGUCCAUUGAUUUAACUGUUUUGAGACCAAGUGACCAGGUUCAGGUGAGGAUGUUGCUGCAGAAUUAUCAGUUAGUGUUUUCAGCCAAUGAUGGCGAUUUGGGUUGUACCAAUUUACUCUCUCAUGAUAUUCCUCUUCUAGAGGAUACUCAGGUUAGGCAGAGGUAUCGACAUACAGUAUAUCACCUUCCGAAUAUGAUGUUGUGAAGACCCACAUCAGUCAACUUCUUGAUGCUCAGGUCAUAAGGGAAAGCUGCAGUCCCUACGCUUCCCCUAUUGCAGAAUGCGAAGACGCGAAAAGAUGUGUUUCCUUUGCCUCGAAUUGAGGAAUCCCUAGAUGCGUUAACUGGAGCUCGCUGGUUUUCCACUAUGGAUUUGGCCAGCGGGUAUAACCAGGUUCCGGUCACCGAGACAGAUAGGGCUAAGACUGCCUUCUGCACUCCUUUCGGUCUUUUUGAGUGGAAUCGCAUGCCCUAUGGGCUUUGCAAUGCUCCCAGUACAUUCCAACGUCUGAUGGAGAGAUUGUUUGGAGAUCAGCAGCAGCAGUCUUUGCUCUUAUAUCUUAAUGAUAUAGUAGUGUUCUCUUCCUCGGUGGCCCAACAUUUGGAGCGCUUGGAAGUUGUUUUGAGUAGAUUAAAACGAUUAAAAGCAUCUAGGCCUAAUGAAAUCUUGGCCGUUGAUUUUACCAUGCUUGAGCCUUCUAGUUCAGGCAUAGAGAACAUUUUGGUGAUGACUGAUAUCUUUACCGAGUACACCUUGGCGGUUCCCACACGUUGCACGAAUAUUGGUAGCGGAAUGGUUUUAUAAAUUUGGUGUCCCCGAUCGCAUACACUCUGACCAGGGCCGAAAUUUUUAAUCUACAUUGAUUCAACAUUAGACGAGCUGCUUUCUGAUUUUUUCCCAGAGCCUUCUGGCACUAGCGCUCUUGAGGCGUCUGCCGUUGCUAAGCAACAAUGACCCGCUCUCUCCAUGAAGACGUGGAAAUUUCAGCC